rnacentral:rRNA from 1 species
CCUACGGGAGACAGCAGUGGGGGAUAUUGCACAAUGGGGGGAACCCUGAUGCAGCGACGCCGCGUGGGUGAAGGAGUGCUUCGGCAUGUAAAGCUCUAUCGGCAGGGAAGAAGCAAGACGGUACCUGACUAAGAAGCCCCGGCAAAAUACGUGCCAGCAGCCGCGGUAAUACGUAGGGGGAGAGCGUUAUCCGGAUUCACUGGGUGUAAAGGGAGCGUAGACGGCCAUGCAAGCCAGAGGUGAAAGCCCGGGGCCCAACCCCGGGACUGCCCUUGAAACUGGAUGGCUGGAGUGCGGGAGGGGCAGGCGGAAUUCCUGGUGUAGCGGUGAAAUGCGUAGAUAUCAGGAGGAACACC